rnacentral:rRNA from 13 species
AGCUGGGUUCAGAACGUCGUGAGACAGUUCGGUCCCUAUCCGCUGCGCGCGCAGGAGACUUGAGAAGGGCUGCCCCUAGUACGAGAGGACCGGGGUGGACGAACCUCUGGUGUGCCAGUUGUUCCGCCAGGAGCACGGCUGGUUGGCUACGUUCGGGAGUGAUAACCGCUGAAAGCAUCUAAGCGGGAAGCACGCUUCAAGAUGAGGUCUCCCACCGAGUUAAUCGGGUAAGGCCCCCAGUAGACCACUGGGUUGAUAGGCCAGAGGUGGAAGCGCCGUAAGGUGUGGAGCUGACUGGUACUAAUAGACCGAGGACU